UCAAUUUUCUGCCACCGAAUACAUUAGCAUGGGAUAAUGGAAUAGGACCCUGUCCUCUUAUUWWMAGUUGGUUUUGGCAGCGCGAGGACUAGGGUAAYYYAUUAAUAGGGAUAGUUGGGGGCAUUAAUAUUUAAUUGUCAGAGGUGAAAUUCUUGGAUUUAUGAAAGAUUAACUUCUGCGAAAGCAUCUGCCAAGGAUGUUUUCAUUAAUCAAGAACGAAAGUUAGGGGAUCGAAGACGAUCAGAUACCGUCGUAGUCUUAACCAUAAACGAUGCCGACCAGCGAUUAGGAGACGUUGAAUACAAAACACCACCAUCGGCGCGGUCGUCCUUGGCGUUCGUGUUCACGCACGGGCGCGAGGGCGGCUUAGCCCGGUGGCACCGGUGAAUGACUCCCCUAGCAGCUUGUGAGAA
rnacentral:rRNA from 1 species